UGAGGAAUAUUGGUCAAUGGGCGCAGGCCUGAACCAGCCAAGUCGCGUGAGGGAGGACGGUCCUACGGAUUGUAAACCUCUUUUAUAAGGGAAUAAAGUGGGUCACGUGUGACUUUUUGCAUGUACCUUAUGAAUAAGGACCGGCUAAUUCCGUGCCAGCAGCCGCGGUAAUACGGAAGGUCCGGGCGUUAUCCGGAUUUAUUGGGUUUAAAGGGAGCGUAGGCCGGAGAUUAAGCGUGUUGUGAAAUGUAGUGGCUCAACCUCUGCACUGCAGCGCGAACUGGUCUUCUUGAGUACGCACAACGUGGGCGGAAUUCGUGGUGUAGCGGUGAAAUGCUUAGAUAUCACGAAGAACUCCG
rnacentral:rRNA from 1 species